rnacentral:lncRNA from 1 species
AUGACGGGAGUCCCCACUGGGCAGCUGGGUGUGGGGGUGUUUUCCAGCUGUGUUGGGGGGCGGGGAGGGAGGCUCCGCGCCCGGAGGAGGAGAGGACCUCAGGCCCUGUGCCUGCCGGGGGCACCGCGGAGGCAGCCGCCCGAAGGGACGAGCGCCACCGCCUCCCGGGGCCGCUGGGGCAGAAAGUUUGGGCCAGGGUUGCGCCCGCCGCGCGGCUCCAGCUUCCCCCGCGGGCCGUGUUGGCCCCUGGAGCGGCCACAGCGGGGAGCAGCAGACCCGGCUCGGGCUGGAGACUCCGCUGGGAGCGCCCCCAGCCGCCCCCCGGAGGGCCCCGCGCUGCUAGCCACCCCCACCGCGGCGCCUACCCUCGCGCACGGCGCAGCGCGCGGCCCCGGGGCUCUUCAGGGAGCCGUGGGAGCCCCUUCCUCCCUUCCGCCCACAACUCCUUUGCGUCCUCCACUCCUCGCGGGAGCCUCCCCGGGGCCUCGGGCAGGCUCUCCGGGGCUGGGUGCGGGGACAGAAGGGCAGCGCACCCCGCGGGGUCCCAGCCCCCGCUCCCACUCGAGGGCUCCGGCCGCCUCCCCGGAUGCGCCCCGCCGGGCCGGGAUCUCCGUGCGCCUCGGCCUCCCCCCGCUGGGGAGUUCCCCGCGCCGGGCAUUGUGCCGCCGCCGCCGCCGCCGCCACCGCCGCCACCACCGCCGCCACCACCGCCGCCACCGCCACCGCCACCGCCGCACGGCGCGCGGGACUCCCCUGCGUCUCCAUGGAGCCCGACCCCGGGGCCUUCCCAUUCACAAAACCGUCCCUCUGGCCUCCGGCUGGGCCACGUGCCCCGACCCCAGCCCGGGAGGGACCCGGGAGGGACCCCGGAACCCAGACCCGGUGCGUGCGGGGACCCCUGACCCCGAGGGCGCCCCCCUCCCCGCGCGCCCCGGGAUGGUCUCGUGCGCCCCUCCCCGGCCGCGCCCCCCCGCCCCCGCCCCCGCCCCCGCCCCCAGCCCGGGCAACGCGAAGGUGAUGACCCGCAGGGCGCGCGCCGGCGAGGGUCGGGGUACUCACGGGCUCAGCGCUCCCCGCGGCAGGUGACGGGGGCCCGGCGGCCAUGCCCCGGCUGCAUCCCGGCCCCGAGCGGGCAGCGGAGCGGGCGGCGAGGGGCGCGGGCCGGGCUCGGCGGCGGCGGCCGCGUGUCCUCCGAGCGGGCGGGCGCUGGAGCGGGGCCGGGCCGGGCCGGGGCGGGCGGCUGUCCGAGGAGGCUCCCGGCUCCGGAGCUGCCCCGCGGCUCGGCGCUCCGCGCUCGCUCCUGCUCGCCGCCGCCUCCUCUCCCUCUGCUCCCCUCCCUCCCGCCCUCCUUCUCCCUCUCUCCUCCCCCUUUCGCUCUCUCCCUCUCCCCGGCUCCUCCGGCUCGCUCGGCUGGAGCGAGGAGACAGCGGGAGCACGCGGCGGCGGCGGCGGCGGCUCGGGCGGAGCGCGCAGCGCGGCGAGGGGGGGCUCGGGCGGAGCGGGCCGGGGACGGCGGCGGGGCGGGGCGGGGCGGGGGGGCGCACCCUGGCGGCCGCAGCGCUGGCCCGCGGAGCCCCGGCGGGGGAGGAGUGAGCGAAGCGCAGGGGUCCCCAGGGCCCGGAGCAGCCCGGUCCCCGCAAGCGCCGCCCUCCAGCCCUGGCCCCGCCUCUCCUCCCUCCCUCCCUCCCGCCUGCCCCCGGGGCGAUCGUGGGCCGGCAGCUCCUCGGAGGACCCCUGCCCUCCCACCUCCCGGGCUCUGGCCCUGGGCCUGCGGUGGAACUCAGGCACAGCGGGAGUGAAUGCCCCCCUACACUCCUCUUCCACUUGGUCCACAGGCCUCCCACUCCCUUACCUAGGCCUGAAAUUCAGUGCCUUGCCUUCCUCCAGAUGGAGAGUGAAGGGGCCACACAGGGCCACUGCUGGGGUGGUUCUCCAGAUUGGCGAAGGUAACCUAUGUAAACAUCCCUGCCCUGGCCUAGAUGUGGGGCUGUCACUGUGGGAGGUCGCCUAGGAUUUGCCUCAAAUCAGGAGAGCAGGUUGUCCCUGUUCUUACUCCAUCCUCCCCCAACCUGGGGGAAGAGGCCCUGGUUUAGGGGCUGGGGAGGGGAGAAGGAAAGCCAAAGGUAAGGGUGGGUGGAGUGGGGACCCUGUGGGCUGGUGGGAUGAGACCCACAGAGGGCAGGAAUGUCAGCACCAAAGGCAGGAGGACCUGGACUGUCCCAAGCAGAACCACAGGAUCAGGCAGACCUUACUUCUGUUUCUAAGCAAAACACAGAUGCUGUGCCCAGAACACCACAGGGGAGAAGGGGUGAGCUGUAACCUCAAAGACGUUCUCAAUCUAAAAACAAACGAAAAACCAUCCCAGGUUGCUUUUUACUUCUGGAUGAUGCUUCUGGAACCCUAGGAUUCCUCUCUGUACCUGACUGUCCUGCUUUUCUGCGUGAGGCAAAAAGCAUGUCAUGGAAUCUGGGGUUUGUUAGGGGCCUAGAAGAAUCAGAGGCAGCGGAGGGAGGCGUGUGGGCUCUGCGUUCCUGCAUGCCUGGGGCGCCGUGCUGCCGGCUGCCUUCCCUGCAGGGUGAGAAUAGACAGUGUCCAAGACAAGUGGCUACUGUCCACUUACGAGCUUAAUGCUUUUAAUUUCUGGCCCUCCAGCCUGUCUGGAUCAUUGAUCUGUCUUGGCCAGGGGGAAUCGUGCUAUACAAUUUCAAGUAAGCUGCUCGGCCUACAGCUAAACACCGGAUAAAUGCCUUGUCUACCAGCAAGGCAGCUGCUUGGAUGAUUGAACUUUCCCCAGCCCCCAUAUUUAAAAUGGCACAUCCCUGCUCAGAAGACCUAAUUGGCUUUCUCUGUCCUCCACUGUCAGAUGGUCCAGGCUUCUGUGGCCUCCAACUCGUGGCUGGGCCCACCCACUACCAUCACCCAACUGUAUCCCUACAGGCAG